AGCGAAAUUCCUUGUCGGGUAAGUUCCGACCUGCACGAAUGGCAUAACGAUGGCCACACUGUCUCCUCCCGAGACUCAGUGAAGUUGAAAUGUUUGUGAUGAUGCAAUCUACCCGCGGCUAGACGGAAAGACCCCAUGAACCUUUACUGCAGCUUUGCAUUGAACUGUGAACCGAUUUGUGUAGGAUAGGUGGGAGGCAGAGAAGAGUCCACGCCAGUGGUCUUGGAGCCGACCUUGAAAUACCACCCUGAUUUGUUUGCGGUUCUAACCACGGACAGUGAUCCUGUCUUGGGACCGUGCAUGGUAGGCAGUUUGACUGGGGCGGUCUCCUCCUAAAGGGUAACGGAGGAGUACGAAGGUACGCUAGGUACGGUCGGAAAUCGUGCUGAUAGUGCAAUGGCAAAAGCGUGCUUGACUGCGAGAGCAACAACUCGAGCAGAUGCGAAAGCAGGUCAUAGUGAUCCGGUGGCUCUGAAUGGAAGGGCCAUCGCUCAACGGAUAAAAGGUACUCUGGGGAUAACAGGCUGAUACCGCCCAAGAGUUCAUAUCGACGGCGGUGUUUGGCACCUCGAUGUCGGCUCAUCUCAUCCUGGGGCUGUAGUCGGUCCCAAGGGUAUGGCUGUUCGCCAUUUAAAGAGGUACGUGAGCUGGGUUUAAAACGUCGUGAGACAGUUUGGUCCCUAUCUGCCGUGGGCGUUGGAAGAUUGACGGGGGCUGCUCCUAGUACGAGAGGACCGGAGUGGACGCACCUCUGGUGUACCGGUUGUCACGCCAGUGGCAUUGCCGGGUAGCUAAGUGCGGAAGAGAUAACCGCUGAAAGCAUCUAAGCGGGAAACUUGCCUGAAGAUGAGUCUUCCCGGAGGUAAAACCUCCCUCAAGAGUCGUCCGAGACCAGGACGUCGAUAGGUCAGGUGUGUAAGCGCUGUGAGGCGUUGAGCUAACUGAUACUAAUUGCUCGUGAGGCUUGAUCCU
rnacentral:rRNA from 1 species